rnacentral:rRNA from 1 species
UACAGAGGUGGCAAGCGUUGUUCGGAAUUACUGGGCGUAAAGGGCGCGUAGGCGGCCUUCUAAGUCAGACGUGAAAUCCCCCGGCUUAACUGAGGAACUGCACGGGAUACUGCGAGACUUGAGUUCGGGAGAGGGAAGCGGAAUUCCGGGUGUAGCGGUGAAAUGCGUAGAUAUCCGGAGGAACACCGGUGGCGAAGGCGGCUUCCUGGACCGAUUACUGACGCUGAGGCGCGAAAGCUAGGGGAGCAAACGGG